UUCGUAGACGAGUGGUAAUGACACUUGCCUCUGACCCUGGAGUCCCGGGUUUGAUCCCCGGGUGAGAAG